GGAAAGAAAAACACAUGCCGGUUGGUAGUCCGGCGCGGCGCAGCCGUCAGUAACCCUCCCUCCUGUGGGUCGUCCCCUUUCCCG
rnacentral:ncRNA from 1 species